UGGAUAGCGUCCAGCGGCAGAGCCCUAUGAAUGGCCAGCCUGGAAUGCUUGUGCCUCCUCAUUGGUCCAUAGCCUCCCUGGUUCAUAUUUGCCUGAGCACUAGCAUAUUCUGGUUGAAAAACUGAAGGUGGGGAUGCAAGUUAAUGAAGACUAUCUGCAGAGGCAUGGAUGGGUUGUAAUCUACAUCUGGGGAGUACCCACACCAAUGAAAUUAUGAUUCUUUUGAAGUGUUGAAAGAAGGAAAUUCUCCACAGGAUCUCCAUCCAACCCAAUGUGGGAGUCUUCCUAAAAUUCUGUUUGCAUUGUGAAGAUCUGAAAAGAAGUCAGGCUGUCCUUUGCUCUUAACUGCAUGACCAGACCACCAUAUUAUUUUUUCAUCAUU